GACGAACGCUGGCGGCGUGCUUAACACAUGCAAGUCGAGCGGAAAGGCCCUUCGGGGUACUCGAGCGGCGAACGGGUGAGUAACACGUGGGUAACCUGCCCUUCACUCUGGGAUAACUCCGGGAAACCGGGGCUAAUACCGGAUACGACCACUUUAGGCAUCUUCGGUGGUGGAAAGUUUUUCGGUGGAGGAUGGACCCGCGGCCUAUCAGCUUGUUGGUGGGGUAAUGGCCUACCAAGGCAGUGACGGGUAGCCGGCCUGAGAGGGCGACCGGCCACACUGGGACUGAGACACGGCCCAGACUCCUACGGGAGGCAGCAGUGGGGAAGUCUUGCACAAUGGGGGAAACCCGUGAUGCAGCGACGCCGCGUGAGUGAUGAAGCCC
rnacentral:rRNA from 1 species